rnacentral:rRNA from 1 species
UACGGGGGGGGGCAAGCGUUGUUCGGAAUUACUGGGCGUAAAGGGCUCGUAGGCGGCGUGACAAGUCAAUUGUGAAAUCUCCGGGCUUAACUCGGAACGGUCAAUUGAUACUGUUGUGCUAGAGUACAGAAGGGGCAAUCGGAAUUCUUGGUGUAGCGGUGAAAUGCGUAGAUAUCAAGAGGAACACCUGAGGUGAAGACGGGUUGCUGGGCUGAUACUGACGCUGAGGCGCGAAAGCUAGGGUAGCAAACGGG